rnacentral:piRNA from 1 species
UGCCAUGAGACAAAGCGUGCACUGGGAC